GAUGAACGCUGGCGGCGUGCCUAAUACAUGCAAGUCGAGCGAACGGACGAGAAGCUUGCUUCUCUGAUGUUAGCGGCGGACGGGUGAGUAACACGUGGAUAACCUACCUAUAAGACUGGGAUAACUUCGGGAAACCGUAGCUAAUACCGGAUAAUAUUUUGAACCGCAUGGUUCAAAAGUGAAAGACGGUCUUGCUGUCACUUAUAGGUGGAUCCGCGCUGCAUUAGCUAGUUGGUAAGGUAACGGCUUACCAAGGCAACGAUGCAUAGCCGACCUGAGAGGGUGAUCGGCCACACUGGAACUGAGACACGGUCCAGACUCCUACGGGAGGCAGCAGUAGGGAAUCUUCCGCAGUGGGCGAAAGCCUGACGGAGCAACGCCGCGUGAGUGAUAAAGGUCUUCGGAUCGUAAAACUCUGUUAUUAGGGAAGAACAUAUGUGUAAGUAACUGUGCACAUCUUGACGGUACCUAAUCAGAAAGCCACGGCUAACUACGUG
rnacentral:rRNA from 1 species